GCGGUUACAGGCAGUUUAUGCCCUUUCUUUGUAUAUAUAAGGCCAUUUGGCCACAACAGUAGGGGAAUUCAUAAUUAUUUAAUUAGGAAACUUAUUGGUUUUGGGCAGAGAGAGAGAUGUCUCUUCUCUGAGGAGCUUUUGCUUUGGGAUUACAGAGGGAUAAUCUUCGAUAAUAUUUUCUAUUCAAUCUAUAAUACUAUUUAUUCUGUUUCUCUUUAAUUCGGGUUCCUAUCAAUUGGUCCGACCUACCGGAUGCGAGAAGGAAACCAGUGUUAUCGGAGAUGGAUGGAAUAUGGACUUUGAAGUAUAAAUUAUCACAAUUUACUGGGGCGGAUCCUGCUGGAUGGAUCACAGGGGCUGAAAUGUUCUUUGCAGAUAAUGAAAUUCACUCAUGUGAUAAGUUGCAGUGGGCUUUCAUGAGUAUGGAGGAUGAAGAAGCGUUGUUGUGGUUUUAUUCUUGGUGCCAAGAGAACCCAGAUGCUGACUGGAAGUCAUUUUCUAUGGCUAUGAUUAGAGAAUUUGGAGCACGUAUGGAGCACCCAACAGAUAAACAAAUGGUGCAAAAUCAUGAUCAAGAAUCAGAACCAAAACUGUGGAAGAUGGCAGAAAAACACGAUGAACCAGUAUUAGAGAAGAUCAUCAACGAUGGAGAAGGAAGGUACGUCAAUGAAAUUUCACCUUCGUCGGAAAAGGUUGUUGAUGCAGAAAUGGAGAACUUUGAAACAAAGAAGAGUCGCAAGGAUAAUAGAAUUGGGGGAAGAGUAUUGAAUGAGAAAGGACAGAUGAAGAAACAAAAGCAAGAAGAAAAUCUUACAUGACAAUUAGAAAAGGAGAGCAAGAGGGUGGGGUCUACCCACAACCACCGCCGGAGCCAUUCCCUCUGAAUUUGAAAGAAAGGAGUUGCAAAUAUAAAACUUUGUAUGUGGCUUGGUUGUUUGAAGGGGGCUUGUCAGGGUUCCAACAAUGGGAUCCUGGGGGCAAAAGAAUUCAAGUUAGUUUCUUUAACUCAGCCUUGAGGACAAGGCUGUUUUUCUAGCGGUCGGUAAUGUUAGGUAUCCGGUGGUAUUGAUAGGGUGACUGCUGAUGCAGUCAGUUAUUUUAAUAUAUAGUCAGUUAUUUUAAUAUAUAAUUUGUAUUGAUUAGGAGCGGUUACAGGCAGUUUAUGCCCUUUCUUUGUAUAAAUAAGGCCAUUUGGCCACAACAGUAGGGGAAUUCAUAAUUAUUUAAUUAGGAACCUUAUUGGUUUUGGGCAGAGAGAGAGAUGUCUCUUCUCUGAGGAGCUUUUGCUCUGGGAUUAGAGAGGGAUAAUCUUCUGUAAUAUUUUCUAUUCAACCUAUAAUACUAUUUAUUCUGUUUCUCUUUAAUUCGGGUU
rnacentral:lncRNA from 1 species